rnacentral:misc_RNA from 1 species
GAACGCACAUUGCGCCCCUUGGUAUUCCGGGGGGCAUGCCUGUUCGAGCGUCAUUAUAACCCCUCAAGCUCAGCUUGGUGUUGGGGCCUGCCAGCUGGCAGCCCUUAAAAUCAGUGGCGGCGCCAUCUGGCUCUAAGCGUAGUAAUUUCUCUCGCUAUAGGGUCCCGGUGGACGCUGGCCAGCAACCCCCAAUUUUUUAAUGGUUGACCUCGGAUCAGGUAGGGAUACCCGCUGAACUUAAG